AUACGUAGGGUGCGAGCGUUGUCCGGAAUUAUUGGGCGUAAAGAGCUUGUAGGCGGUUUGUCGCGUCUGCAGUGAAAAUCCGGGGCUCAACCCCGGACUUGCUGUGGGUACGGGCAGACUAGAGUGUGGUAGGGGAGACUGGAAUUCCUGGUGUAGCGGUGGAAUGCGCAGAUAUCAGGAGGAACACCGAUGGCGAAGGCAGGUCUCUGGGCCAUAACUGACGCUGAGAAGCGAAAGCAUGGGGAGCGAACAGGAUUAGAUACCCUGGUAGUCCAUGCCGUAAACGUUGGGCGCUAGGUGUGGGGCUCAUUCCACGAGCUCCGUGCCGCAGCUAACGCAUUAAGCGCCCCGCCUGGGGAGUACGGCCGCAAGGCUAAA
rnacentral:rRNA from 1 species